GACGAACGCUGGCGGCGCGCCUAACACAUGCAAGUCGAACGAGCGAGAGAGAGCUUGCUUUCUUGAGCGAGUGGCGAACGGGUGAGUAACGCGUGAGGAACCUGCCUCAAAGAGGGGGACAACAGUUGGAAACGACUGCUAAUACCGCAUAAGCCCACGACCCGGCCUCGGGUUGAGGGAAAAGGAGCAAUCCGCUUUGAGAUGGCCUCGCGUCCGAUUAGCUAGUUGGUGAGGUAACGGCCCACCAAGGCGACGAUCGGUAGCCGGACUGAGAGGUUGAACGGCCACAUUGGGACUGAGACACGGCCCAGACUCCUACGGGAGGCAGCAGUGGGGAAUAUUGCACAAUGGGGGAAACCCUGAUGCAGCGACGCCGCGUGGAGGAAGAAGGUCUUCGGAUUGUAAACUCCUGUUGUUGAGGAAGAUAAUGACGGUACUCAACAAGGAAGUGACGGCUAACUACGUG
rnacentral:rRNA from 1 species